rnacentral:snRNA from 1 species
UGCCGUGCGCAGUGGCAGUACCGUAGCCAAUAAAGUUUAUCUGAGGCGCGGUUAUUGCUAGUUGAAAACUACUCCCAAUACCCCGGUGCGCCGGUUGCACAGUGGUUAGGAACCUCGACGACCAUGCACAUGG